CAAAGACACACCUGGAGAAGGACUCUUCAGGCAGACUCUCGGAGUGCCUGUCCUGCUGUAAAUCUCUUAAAAAUCACCAAGAGUGAUGGAAGCGUUUAAUGUCUUUGGCUACUCAAGCUGGAUGCUGAACAGAACAAUCCUCCUUCUCUCCACCCCUUGUACUUUCAACAAUAAGUUGGUUUAUCUGAAGAGCUCUCCAGUAAGGAAGCUUAAUCCUGAAAAAUUUUACCAGGCUUGAAGAAAGACAUCAACUUUGACACUGCCCAGUUGCUUAAAAUAGAUAUUAAAACAACAGCUUGUGAACUGUACAAAGGGUGUUUCAUGUUUUCAUAAAACAUGUACUAAAAGCCUCUGAUUUUCAGGGGGUUUCAUGCCCAAUAUGGUACAAGUACUUGUGUGGUAUUUCCUUUUCAUUUGGAAAAUGAGGAUAAUUUUCUGUACUAGGUAAGAUUCAGACUAAAGACUGACAUAAGCCAGUGUCUGGUUUUUUUUUUAUUCUAAAUUACUCAGAUUGCAUAUUUGACUUUUGAUAUUUUUUUUUUUCCUGCCAACGUUGUAUGUGGGGCAUAUUAGAUACUGACCUAAAUCCAUCUUCCUUCAUUUCAUUGUAGCGUGGCAGAUUUUCUGAUGGUUCUAAUCAGCCUUAGUAGAGCUGCCCACCUCAGUUCCAUUAACAAGAAGUCAACACAGGCAUAUUUACACCCUAAGCUAUUGAUGAUUUCUGGAUCAUGCAAGCGAAGCCCACAGAGAUAAAACAGCUGUGGUGCUUUAAAAGAAAUAAUAUUAUCCACCUUGUUUCUUUGUCUUUUA